rnacentral:rRNA from 1 species
CCUACGGGUGGCAGCAGUGAGGAAUAUUGGUCAAUGGCCGAGAGGCUGAACCAGCCAAGUCGCGUGAAGGAAGACGGCCCUAAGCGUUGUAAACCUCUUUUGUCGAGGGACAAAGCGAAGCACGUGUGGUUCAUUGAGGGUACCUGAAGAAAAAGCAUCGGCUAACUCCGUGCCAGCAGCCGCGGUAAUACGGAGGAUGCGAGCGUUAUCCGGAUUUAUUGGGUUUAAAGGGUGCGCAGGCGGAGGGGCAAGUCAGCGGUCAAAUUGCGGGGCUCAACCCCGUAAGGCCGUUGAAACUGGAUGCCUUGAGAUCGCGAGAGGUAUGCGGAAUGCGUGGUGUAGCGGUGAAAUGCAUAGAUAUCACGCAGAACUCCGAUUGCGAAGGCAGCAUACCGGCGGGGAACUGACGCUCAUGCACGAAAGCGUGGGUAUCGAACAGGAUUAGAUACCCUUGUAGUC